AUUGAACGCUGGCGGCAUGCUUUACACAUGCAAGUCGAACGGCAGCACGGGGGCAACCCUGGUGGCGAGUGGCGAACGGGUGAGUAAUGCAUCGGAACGUGCCCCGUCGUGGGGGAUAACACAUCGAAAGAUGUGCUAAUACCGCAUACGACCUGAGGGUGAAAGCGGGGGACCGCAAGGCCUCGCGCGAUGGGAGCGGCCGAUGUCUGAUUAGCUAGUUGGUGGGGUAAAGGCCUACCAAGGCGACGAUCAGUAGCUGGUCUGAGAGGACGACCAGCCACACUGGGACUGAGACACGGCCCAGACUCCUACGGGAGGCAGCAGUGGGGAAUUUUGGACAAUGGGGGCAACCCUGAUCCAGCCAUGCCGCGUGCGGGAAGAAGGCCUUCGGGUUGUAAAGCUCUUUCGGCCGGGAAGAAAUCGCACGGGCUAAUACCCUGUGUGGAUGACGGUACCGGAAUAAGAAGCACCGGCUAACUACGUGCCAGCCGCCGCAGUAACAC
rnacentral:rRNA from 1 species